rnacentral:rRNA from 1 species
UACGGGGGGGGCAAGCGUUGUUCGGAAUUACUGGGCGUAAAGGGUUUGUAGGUGGCCGAUUAAGUCAUACGUGAAAUCCCUCAGCUUAACUGGGGAACUGCGUCUGAUACUGGUUGGCUUGAGUGCAGGAGAGGAACGCGGAAUUCCAGGUGUAGCGGUGAAAUGCGUAGAUAUCGGGAGGAACACCAGUGGCGAAGGCGGCGAUCUGGGAAGAUACUGACGCUGAGGUGCGAAAGCGUGGGGAGCAAACAGG